rnacentral:misc_RNA from 1 species
GUACUCUCAUGCUCCCGAUGCUUUUGGAUCGGGAGUGGUGGACUUGGGUGUUGCUGCUUUACUGUGGCUCACCUCAAAUGGAGUAGUGCAACUCUUGGUUGGACAUAGUACGGCGUGAUAAGUGUCUUCGCCGGCGCCUCAUUAGAGGGUGGCCGAUCGGGAGCUCUGCGCUUCAAACCGUCUUCGGACAACAUCUGACA